AGAGCGGGAGCCCGGAGAUGGGCACUGAGACAAGGGCCCAGGCCCUACGGGGCGCAGCAGUUGCGAAAACUCCGCAAUGCGCGAAAGCGUGACGGGGCUACCCCGAGUGCCGCCCGUUGAGGACGGCUUUUCCACGGUGUAAGGAGCCGUGGGAAUAAGGAGAGGGCAAGCCUGGUGUCAGCCGCCGCGGUAAUACCAGCUCUCCGAGUGGUGGGGACGAUUAUUGGGCUUAAAGCGUUCGUAGCCGGCUCAACAAGUCUCUCGUUAAAUCCAACGAUCCAAUCGUUGGUCUGCGGGAGAUACUGUUGGGCUAGGAGGCGGGAGAAGCCGACGGUAUUCUCGGGGUAGGGGUGAAAUCCUGUAAUCCCGGGAGGACCACCAGUGGCGAAGGCGGUCGGCU
rnacentral:rRNA from 1 species